CGGUAUGCUUAACACAUGCAAGUCGAACGGCAGCACGAGGAGCUUGCUCCUUGGUGGCGAGUGGCGGACGGGUGAGUAAUACUUAGGAAUCUAUCCAGUAGCUGGGGAUAACCCGGAGAAAUCCGGGCUAAUACCGAAUACGCACUACGGUGGAAAGAGGGGGCUCUUCGGACCUCUCACUAUUGGGUGAGCCUAAGCCGGAUUAGCUAGUUGGUGGGGUAAAGGCCUACCAAGGCGACGAUCCGUAGCUGGUCUGAGAGGACGAUCAGCCACACUGGGACUGAGACACGGCCCAGACUCCUACGGGAGGCAGCAGUGGGGAAUAUUGGACAAUGGGGGGAACCCUGAUCCAGCAAUACCGGGUGUGUGAAGAAGGCCUGCGGGUUGUAAAGCACUUUCAGUAGGGAAGAAAAGCGGAUGGUUAAUACCCAUCGGUCUUGACGUUACCUACAGAAGAAGCACCGG
rnacentral:rRNA from 1 species